GACGAACGCUGGCGGCGUGCCUAAUACAUGCAAGUCGAACGGGGAAAGCUUUCGGGUGAGUACUAGUGGCGCACGGGUGAGUAAUGCGUGGAUAAUCUGCCUUGAAGAGGGGGAUAACCAGUCGAAAGAUUGGCUAAUACCGCAUAAGACCACAGGAACUGAGGUUCUAGAGGUCAAAGGUUUUUCGCUUCAAGAUGAGUCCGCGUAAGAUUAGCUAGUUGGUGAGGUAACGGCUCACCAAGGCGACGAUCUUUAACUGGUCUGAGAGGAUGAUCAGUCACACUGGAACUGAGACACGGUCCAGACGCCUACGGGAGGGAGCAGUAGGGAAUAUUGCGCAAUGGAGGAAACUCUGAUGCAGCGACGCCGCGUGAGUGAUGAAGGCCUUCGGGUCGUAAAGCUCUGUCGCAGGGGAAUAACACAAUGAAUGUACCCUGUAAGAAAGGAUCGGCUAACUUCGUGCCAGCCGCCGCCGUAAGAC
rnacentral:rRNA from 1 species